GGUUUCUUAAAGCUCUUAUCAUAUAUAUAAUUGAAUUUAAUCUGGUUGUAAGCGUUUCACAAUGUACUGACCAGUUCAAAUGCUUAUCGAUAUAUACUCCGAGUAGUUUAGUUUGGGAGCCUAUCUGAACUGUUCCAUUAUCAAAAGUUAUAUUGUCCGGAACUUUCAAGUUAGAACGACUACUCAAAAAUAUUACAACACUUGUUUUGUUCAAGUUUAGCCGCAAGCCGCAGUCAUCACACCAGUUCUCGAUCAUAGACAUAGAUGUUGUUAAAUUGGUCAUCACUCUUUCAAUAACUUUGGAAGAUACUAUAAUGUUGGUAUCGUCAGCAUAAAGAUAAGUAUCGACAACUUCUUCGGCUGUCAGUUUGAGCUGUAGUGGCUGACUUUCUUCUUGUGGUUGAAAAAUAUUAGUGAAACCAUGUUGUUUAGUAGUGAGAACAUUGAACUUCCUGAAGAAUUUCAGAAUCCUAUUUGACAGAAUUUUCUCAAAAAUUUUAGCGAAUGAGGAAGGCAUGACAAUUGAUUUCUUCAGAGCGUCAGGAAAUAUGCCGGAUCGGAAAGCAGAAUUGAUCAGAAAACAAACUGGCUUCACUAUAUGUAUGAAAUGGCGCUUGAUCAAUGUCAUCGGAAC